UACGGGGGGAGCAAGCGUUGUUCGGAUUUACUGGGCGUAAAGGGCGCGUAGGCGGCCACCGCAAGUCGACUGUGAAAUCUCCGGGCUUAACCCGGAAAGGUCAGCCGAUACUGCGGGGCUAGAGUGCAGAAGGGGCAACUGGAAUUCGUCGGUGGUAGCGGUGAAAUGCGUAGAUAUCGAGAGGAACACCUGCGGCGAAGGCGGGUUGCUGGGCUGACACUGACGCUGAGGCGCGAAAGCUAGGGGAGCGAACGGG
rnacentral:rRNA from 1 species